GACGAACGCUGGCGGCGUGCUUAACACAUGCAAGUCGAACGAAGUGGCGAACGGGUGAGUAACGCGUAAUCAACCUGCCCUUCCGAGGGGGACAACAGUUGGAAACGACUGCUAAUACCGCAUACUCAAGGAGGGGAUUGCGUAUGAUUAGCUAGUGGGCGGGGUAACGGACCACCAAGACGAUGAUCAGUAGCCGGUUUGAGAGUAUGAACGGCCAAAGUGGGAAGGAGACACGGCACCGACGCCUACGGGAGGCAGUAGUGUGGAAUCUUCCGCAAUGGACGAAAGUCUGACGGAGCAACGCCGCGGGAGUGAUGACGGCCUUCGGGUUGUAAAGCUCUGUUAAUCGGGACGCGGUACCGGAAUAGAAAGCCACGGCUAACUACGUGCCAGCAGCCGCGGUAAUAC
rnacentral:rRNA from 1 species